GAUGAACGCUAGCGGCAGGCCUAACACAUGCAAGUCGAGGGAGAAGCCCUUUCGGGGGCAGAAACCGGCGCACGGGUGCGUAACGCGUAUGCAACCUACCUUUCACAGGGGGAUAGCCCGAAGAAAUUUGGAUUAAUACCCCAUAAUAUUAUUGGAUGGCAUCAUUUGAUAAUUAAAACUGCGGUGGUGAAAGAUGGGCAUGCGUCCUAUUAGCUAGUUGGAGUGGUAACGGCACCCCAAGGCUACGAUAGGUAGGGGUCCUGAGAGGGAGAUCCCCCACACUGGUACUGAGACAGGGACCAGACUCCUACGGGAGGCAGCAGUGAGGAAUAUUGGUCAAUGGUCGGAAGACUGAACCAGCCAUGCCGCGUGCAGGAAGAAUGCCUUAUGGGUUGUAAACUGCUUUUAUAGGGGAAGAAUAAGGCGUACGUGUACGUUGAUGACGGUACCAUAUGAAUAAGCAUCGGCUAACUCCGUG
rnacentral:rRNA from 1 species